UUGUUUUCCGGGUUUUACACGAGGUGUUUCAGUGACGUUUAGCAGCGCGAUCUCUCGCAUGGAUUUGUGACGGAGCGCGGUAAUAAAGUGAAGUUUGGCAGCGCGAUCUCUCGCAUGGAUUUGUGACGGAGCGCGGUAAUAAAGUGAAGUUUGGCAGCGCGAUCUCUCGCAUGGAUUUGUGACGGAGCGCGGUAAUAAAGUGAAGUUUGGCAGCGCGAUCUCUCGCAUGGAUUUGUGACGGAGCGCGGUAAUAAAGUGAAGUUUGGCAGCGCGAUCUCUCGCGUGGAUUUGUGAUCGAACACGGUGUUGUGAUCUCCGUGGAACCAAUAUAUGAUCUUUUAGACUAUUGAUAUCGAUGGGUUUAUGAGACUGAGAAGGAUAUGAAGUGAGAGAUUAUCUGUGCCUUUCUAGAACCUUCUGUGAGUCAGAAAAAAAAAAAAAAGAAAAGAUCUCCUUGUUAGGAUUUGUGCGAUGAUUGAUUGUAGUGGUCCCAUGUCAAGUAGAAAGUGGCCGACUUCAACUUGCAAAUACACCAACUCAAGGACAGUUAUUAUAAAAAACAUGGAGCAGACUGAAGUGAAUGCAGUCAUGAAACAUUUUAAAGGGACACCUCACCACAAAAGCACAGUGUGAUCAAUGCAAGAAAGCAGAAGACCAUGUUCUUAAAGAAAGAAGAAAAUUUAAGUGACUUUGUGAGGAACAGAGGUUUGCAGAUAAAUAAAAGAAAUGUUGGAGUGCAUUUCAACAAAGAAAAGCAAAAACUGUGCUUUUAAACGGUUAGUUCAUCCAAAAAAUAAAAUUAGCCCAUGGUUUAUUCACCCUUAUGCAAUCCUAGCUGUAUAUGACAUUCUUCGUUCAGACGAACACAUUAAGAGUUAUUUUAAAUUUUCUCUGGGCACUUAAAUACUAUUAUGGAUGUGAAGUGUGGGCCUUUUUGGAACCGUUUCAACCGUUCCAAUAUAUGUGAUGUCUUUUGAAUCAAUAGGUUUGUAACAAAUAUUUAUGUUUUAUGAAUUAUGAACUCUAGUUGUUACUUGCGUGUUGGCGACAGAGUCAGAUGAACCUAAACAAAUCAAAGAACAAAUUAAAGAUUUCCCAAACUCAGCCAACUUGACUUUUCAUGAACAAUCAUACAGACAUUAGCUAUGUUUUCAUCCAAAAAUACGAAUGAACUUUAUGCCAAAAAUGCGAAUGAACUUUAUGCGCAAAACUGGAUUAUCGCAUUAAGGACGUGCAAAUAAAGCAGCGUUUCCAUCCAACGAGUCAAAGCAAACAAAAUUGUCACUUCCUGAUUAACUGGCACCAAAUAUCAACAGUAAAAACUGAAUUUGCUGUGGUAAGAGAAGCUGUGUCAAUCUUUUCUUCAUCUAAUAAAUGACACGGAGCACAGACGCUCUUGAUUCUGGAGGUCAUUAAUAAUAUAAUAACAUUAAUACUUAAACGGUUAGGUGUUUUAGAAUGACCAAAACAACAGUUCAGAUGGUUUACAGUGUGCUGCUGGUUUCUCCAUUUACGCACAUUUUCAUCAUCACAUGAUCUCUAAUAACAAAAUCACAUGACCUUUUUUAAUGCGUACACUGGAAUUUGUGCGGUAAAAGUGUUUCCAUCGUAGUUUAUGUGCAUCUUUUCUUAUCGAAUAAAAAGUUUAUCCUACUCAGUUAUGCGCAUAAGUUUUUUAUGCGCAUUUUCAAAAUGUAUGCGUAUUAUGGCAUUUCCAUCAACCGUUUUUUAUGCACAUAUGCAAAAUGCGCAUAAAAAUAGAUGCAUGGAAACAUGGCUAAUGACAGAUUCAAAAAUCCAUUGAUCUGUUUCAAAAGACACAUUAACCUCCCGGAUGCGUAUGGUUCGUUUCACGACAGAUAUUUGUGCUUUUUCAAGGUUUAAAAAGGGGUCACAAUUCACUACCAAUAUAAUGUUUGAAAGUGCCCAGAAAAAUUCUAAAUAACUCUUAAUGUAUUCAUCUGAAAGAAGAAUGUCAUGUACACCGAGGAUGGCAUUAAGUUGAGUAAAUCAAUUUUCAUUUUUGGUUGAACUAACCCUUUAAGGGGCAGAACCCUUAAAAUGUUGUCAUUGAGUUGUUUUUUUAAAAAGCCUUGUUGAAUAAAUGCAUUUGAGACAGUGAUUUGAUGUUACUGAUCUAUAUAUCUACCUAUCUCUCUGUCCAUAAGCUAGUCCAGUUAAACACUGAUUGUCCUCACAAUCCAGUGUUAGUAAAGUGUGUUGGUGUGUAAGAGUGAAGUCCAGUUAAACACCAGUUGUCCUCACAAUCCAGUGUUAGUAAUGUGUGUUGGUGUGUAUAAGUGAAUUCCAGUUAAACACCAGUUGUCCACACAAUCCUGUGUUAGUAAUGUGUGUUGGUGUGUAUGAGUGAAGUCCAGUUAAACACCAGUUGUCCUCACAAUCCAGUGUUAGUAAUGUGUGUGGGUGUUUAUGAGUAAAGUCCAGUUAAACACUAAUUGUCCUCACAAUCCUGUGUUAGUAAAGUGUGUUGGUGUGUAUGAGUGUAGUCCAGUUAAACACUGAUUGUGCUCAUAAUCCAAGGUUGUUAGUAUGUGUGUGUAACACUCAUGGCUGUCCUCAUAAUGCAUGAUUAAAUCCGAAACGCCCACUUUU